rnacentral:misc_RNA from 1 species
AAAGUCGUAACAAGGUUUCCGUAGGUGAACCUGCGGAAGGAUCAUUACCAAUCAAAGCUGUCCUGACCGAGAGGUCUUGACGCUUCAACCCUCUGUGAACCAAAAAACCUUUCGCUUCGGCAGCAGCCCGGUUGGAGACAGCCUGGCGUGAGCCUGCCGUUAGCACCAAACCAUAAACUUGCUUUAGAACUUAUGUCUGAUGACCAAAUUUUCGAAUGAAAAUUAAAACUUUCAACAACGGAUCUCUUGGUUCCC